rnacentral:rRNA from 1 species
CUUCCGCAAUGGACGAAAGUCUGACGGAGCAACGCCGCGUGAGUGAUGAAGGUUUUCGGAUCGUAAAACUCUGUUGUUAGGGAAGAACAUGUACCGUUCGAAUAGGGCGGUACCUUGACGGUACCUAACCAGAAAGCCACGGCUAACUACGUGCCAGCAGCCGCGGUAAUACGUAGGUGGCAAGCGUUGUCCGGAAUUAUUGGGCGUAAAGCGCGCGCAGGCGGUUUCUUAAGUCUGAUGUGAAAGCCCCCGGCUCAACCGGGCAGGGUCAUUGGAAACUGGGGAACUUGAGUGCAGGAGAGGAGAGUGGAAUUCCACGUGUAGC